UCCUGCCACAGCUACUGCAACUGCCGAUGC
rnacentral:piRNA from 1 species